CCUACGGGAGGCAGCAGUAGGGAAUCUUCCACAAUGGGCGAAAGCCUGAUGGAGCAACGCCGCGUGAGUGAUGAAGGCCUUCGGGUUGUAAAACUCUGUCAUUCGGGACGAACCGGAGUCUGAGGAAAUGCAGACUCUCUGACGGUACCGGAGGAGGAAGCCCCGGCUAACUACGUGCCAGCAGCCGCGGUAAUACGUAGGGGGCAAGCGUUGUCCGGAUUCACUGGGCGUAAAGCGCGCGCAGGCGGUGAUGUAAGUCUGAGGUGAAAACCCGAAGCUCAACUUCGGGACUGCCUUGGAUACUGCGUCACUUGAGGAUAGGAGAGGCAAGGGGAAUUCCACGUGUAGCGGUGAAAUGCGUAGAGAUGUGGAGGAACACCUGUGGCGAAGGCGCCUUGCUGGCCUAUUUCUGACGCUGAGGCGCGAAAGCGUGGGGAGCAAACAGGAUUAGAUACCCUGGUAGUCCACGCUGUAAACGAUGAGUGCUAGGUGUAGGUGGGCUCAUACCCAUCUGUGCCGAAGCUAACGCAUUAAGCACUCCGCCCUGGGGAGUACGGUCGCGAAGACUGAAACUUAAAGAGUAGUAGACGUGAGAGAGCGACGAGGCACACGGGAGGUAGG
rnacentral:rRNA from 1 species